CUGCAUGAAGCCGGAAUCGCUAGUAAUCGCGGAUCAGCAUGCCGCGGUGAAUACGUUCCCGGGCCUUGUACACACCGCCCGUCACACCACGAGAGCUUGCAACACCCGAAGUCGGUGAGGUAACCCGCAAGGGAGCCAGCCGCCGAAGGUGGGGCAAGUGAUUGGGGUGAAGUCGUAACAAGGUAGCCGUACCGGAAGGUGCGGCUGGAUCACCUCCUUUCUAAGGA
rnacentral:rRNA from 1 species